rnacentral:rRNA from 1 species
CUGUCUGAAUAUGGGGGGACCAUCCUCCAAGGCUAAAUACUCCUGACUGACCGAUAGUGAACCAGUACCGUGAGGGAAAGGCGAAAAGAACCCCGGCGAGGGGAGUGAAAAAGAACCUGAAACCGUGUACGUACAAGCAGUGGGAGCACCCUUYGGGGUGUGACUGCGUACCUUUUGUAUAAUGGGUCAGCGACUUAUAUUCUGUAGCAAGGUUAACCGWAUAGGGGAGCCGKAGGGAAACCGAGUCUUAACCGGGCGUUAAGUUGCAGGGUAUAGACCCGAAACCCGGUGAUCUAGCCAUGGGCAGGUUGAAGGUUGGGUAACACUAACUGGAGGACCGAACCGACUAAUGUUGAAAAAUUAGCGGAUGACCUGUGGCUGGGGGUGAAAGGCCAAUCAAAC